GGACUACCGGGGUAUCUAAUCCCGUUUGCUACCCAAGCUUUCGCGCCUCAGCGUCAGAUACGAGCCAGAGAGUCGCUUUCGCCACCGGCGUUCCUUCUGAUAUCUACGCAUUUCACCGCUUCACCAGAAGUUCCACUCUCCCCUCUCGUCCUCAAGACAAACAGUAUCGGAUGCAGUUCCUCAGUUGAGCUGAGGGAUUUCACAACCGACUUGGAAACCCGCCUACGCGCGCUUUAUGCCCAGUGAUUCCGAGUAACGCUUGCACACUCCGUAUUACCGCGGCUGCUGGCAC
rnacentral:rRNA from 2 species